GAUGAACGCUGGCGGCGUGCCUAAUACAUGCAAGUCGAGCGAACAGACGAGGAGCUUGCUCCUCUGACGUUAGCGGCGGACGGGUGAGUAACACGUGGAUAACCUACCUAUAAGACUGGGAUAACUUCGGGAAACCGGAGCUAAUACCGGAUAAUAUAUUGAACCGCAUGGUUCAAUAGUGAAAGACGGUUUUGCUGUCACUUAUAGAUGGAUCCGCGCCGCAUUAGCUAGUUGGUAAGGUAACGGCUUACAAAGGCAACGAUGCGUAGCCGACCUGAGAGGGUGAUCGGCCACACUGGAACUGGGACACGGUCCAGACUCCUACGGGAGGCAGCAGUAGGGAAUCUUCCGCAAUGGGCGAAAGCCUGACGGAGCAACGCCGCGUGAGUGAUGAAGGUCUUCGGAUCGUAAAACUCUGUUAUUAGGGAAGAACAAAUGUGUAAGUAACUAUGCACGUCUUGACGGUACCUAAUCAGAAAGCCACGGCUAACUACGUG
rnacentral:rRNA from 1 species